CGCAUCUGUGCAUGCAGCAUAUCAAUAAGCGGAGGAAAAGAAACUAACAAGGAUUCCCCUAGUAACGGCGAGUGAAGCGGGAAGAGCUCAAAUUUGAAAUCUUAAAGGGUUUCCCUUUACGAAUUGUAGUUUAAAGAAGUGUUUUCUGUUGAGGUUUUGGUAAAAGUUCUUUGGAAUAGGACAUCAUAGAGGGUGAGAAUCCCGUAUUUGACCUUUACUUUCAACUUUGUGAUACACUUUCAAAGAGUCGGAUUGUCUGGGAAUGCAGUCCAAAAUGGGUGGUAAAUUUCAUCUAAAGCUAAAUAUUGGCGAGAGACCGAUAGCGAACAAGUACCGUGAGGGAAAGAUGAAAAGAACUUUGAAAAGAGAGUUAAACAGUACGUGAAAUUGUCAAAAGGGAAGCGUUUGACACCAGUGUUGUUUUUCUGAAAAUCAAUUAAAGAACUGUUUAUGCUAAGCUGUUUAGACUUUAUCAGCUAUCUGUUUAGUUUUGAGCUUUUCUUUAAUGCACUUUUCAGUUAACAGGUCAACAUCAAUUUCUUUUGCUGUAAAAAAGCUUGAGGAAGGUGGCUUGAGAUUCGUCUUAAGUGUUUAUAGCCUCUUGCCUAUGCAGUCGGAGAGAUUGAGGUCUGCAGCGUAGAUCCUUCGGGGCUAAAUGCAUUUGUGCUAAGUUAUAGCAUUUUAUAGACAACUUGUUGACUAUGAUUUGUCUUGUAGCUUACUCGCUUAUGUUAUUUUACCUACGCUUAGGAUGUUGAGUCGUAGAGCACGCAG
rnacentral:rRNA from 1 species